AAAGAGACAACCUGGAGAACUGAAACAUCUAAGUAACCAGAGGAAAAGAAAUCAAUUGAGAUUCCGUUAGUAGUGGCGAGCGAAAGCGGAAUAGGCCAGUAGUUUUAUUAAAAAAAUUUGAAUAGUUUGGAAAAACUAACCACAGAGGGUGAUAGUCCCGUAUAAGUAAUGUUUAAUAAAAUUCUUGAGUAAAGCGGGACACGUGAAAUCCUGCUCGAAUAUAGGGGGACCACCCUCUAAGCCUAAAUACUCUUCAGUGACCGAUAGUGAACUAGUACCGUGAGGGAAAGGUGAAAAGAACCCCUAUUAGGGGAGUGAAAUAGAACCUGAAACCGCAUGCCUACAAUCAGUCGAAGCUCUUUUUAGAGUGACGGCGUACCUUUUGUAUAAUGGGUCAGUGACUUAAUUUAUAAAGCAAGCUUAAGCCAUCUAGGUGUAGGCGCAGCGAAAGCAAGUCUUAAUAGGGCGAACAGUUUUAUGAAUUAGACCCGAAAACGAAUGAGCUUACCAUGAGCAGGUUGAAAGUAAGGUAACACUUACCGGAGGACCGAACCAGUUGACGUUGAAAAGUCUUUGGAUGACUUGUGGUAAGGGGUGAAAGGCCAACCAAAUUCGUAGAUAGCUGGUUUUCCGCGAAAACUAUUUAGGUAGUGCGAUGAAUAAAUAGAUGUUUAGAGGUAGAGCACUAAAUGGGCUAGGGGGAAGAGAUUCUUACCAAACCUAAUAAAACUCCGAAUGCUAAACAUUGUUCUUCAUCAGACAGACUGUGGGUGCUAAGGUCCACGGUCGAGAGGGAAAGAGCCCAGACCACCAGAUAAGGUCCCCAAAUUAUGAUUAAGUGUGAAAGGAUGUGGAAAUUCCUUAACAGCCGGGAGGUUGGCUUAGAAGCAGCCAUCCUUUAAAGAUAGCGUAACAGCUCACCGGUCUAAUAGAGUUUCUGCGCCGAAGAUGUAACGGGGCUAAAAUCAUAUACCGAAUCUGUGGGUUUAUAGAGUUUUCGAACUUUAUAAGCGGUAGCGGAACGUUCUGUAAGCCUGUGAAGGGAUACCCGUGAGGGAUCCUGGAGGUAUCAGAAGUGCGAAUGCUGACAUAAGUAACGAUAAAAGAAGUGAAAAACUUCUUCGCCGAAAAUCCAAGGGUUUCUGCGCAAGGUUAAUCCGCGCAGAGUUAGUCGGCACCUAAGACGAGGGCGAAAGCCGUAGUCGAUGGAAAUAAGGUUAAUAUUCCUUAACCAGAUGGUAGUGACGAAUCUUGUAAGUUGUAAGUUCUUAAUGGAUUGAACUUGCCGCGAAAAGGUUCCAAGAAAUAGCUCCAUCAUUAGACCGUACCCUAAACCGACACAGGUGGAUUAAUAGAGUAUAUUUAGGCGCUUGAGAGAAUGAUGUUGAAGGAACUCGGCAAAAUACUUCCGUAACUUCGGGAUAAGGAAGACCUUCUGAUAGGCAACUAUUUGAAGGUGGCACAAGCCAGGGAGAAGCGACUGUUUAUCAAAAACACAGGGCUCUGCUAACACGUAAGUGGAUGUAUAGGGUCUGACGCCUGCCCGGUGCUGGAAGGUUAAUGCGGUUGGUGCAAGCUAACUUCUGAAGCCCCAGUAAACGGCGGCCGUAACUAUAACGGUCCUAAGGUAGCGAAAUUCCUUGUCGGGUAAGUUCCGACCUGCAUGAAUGGCGUAACGAUUUCUCCGCUGUCUCCAACAUCAACUCAGUGAAAUUGAAUUCUCCGUGAAGAUGCGGAGUUCGCGUAGUUAGACGGAAAGACCCCGUGCACCUUUACUGCAACUUUACAUUGGUGUUAGGAAAAACAUAUUUAGAAUAGGAGGGAGACAUUGAAGCAAGAGCGUCAGCUUUUGUGGAGUCACCAGUGAAAUACCUCUUUUGUUUUUCUUGAUAUCUAACUGAUUGCCGUCAUCCGGCAUCAAGACAUUGUAUGGUGGGUAGUUUGACUGGGGCGGUCGCCUCCCAAAUAGUAACGGAGGCGUGCGAAGGUAGGCUCAGAACGGUCAGAAAUCGUUC
rnacentral:rRNA from 1 species